rnacentral:rRNA from 1 species
GGGUCAGUAGGCUGGUCGUGCCACCGGUACGUACUGGUCUCACUGAUUCCUCCUUCCUGAAGAACCGUAAUGCCAUUAAUUUGGUGUUGCGGGGAAACAGGACUGUUACUUGGAAAAAAUUAGAGUGUUUAAACCAAGCUAACGCUUGAAUACAUUAGCAUGGAAUCAUGAAAUAGGACGAUCGAUCCUAUUUUGUUGGUUUCUAGGAUUGACGUA